rnacentral:rRNA from 1 species
GACGAACGCUGGCGGCGUGCUUAGCACAUGCAAGUCGAACGGUGAAGGGGUCUGCUUUUGUGGGCCCUGGAUGAGUGGCGAACGGGCGAGUAACACGUGAGUAACCUGCCCCCUUCUUCUGGAUAACCGCAUGAAAGUGUGGCUAAUACGGGAUAUUCUGGGUCUGUCGCAUGAUGGGUCUGGGAAAGAUUGCGCCUUUGGGUGUUUUUGGUGGGGGAUGGGCUCGCGGCCUAUCAGCUUGUUGGUGGGGUGAUGGCCUACCAAGGCGGUGACGGGUAGCCGGCCUGAGAGGGUGGACGGUCACACUGGGACUGAGACACGGCCCAGACUCCUACGGGAGGCAGCAGUGGGGAAUAUUGCACAAUGGGCGCAAGCCUGAUGCAGCGACGCCGCGUGAGGGAUGGAGGCCUUCGGGUUGUAAACCUCUUUCGCCAGUGAAGCAGGCCUGCUCCUUGUGGGUGGGUUGACGGUAGCUGGAUAAGAAGCGCCGGCUAACUACGUG